UCAAGUCGCCCAAGGUAUCAACAGACAUAACGCGUCGUGGUUAUCAAGAAAUGCAGUUAUCAAGGCAGUUGUUAAAGCAGCCCUAUCACGUUCCACGACUCAAGGAAUUCAAUCGAAAGCGGUUGAACGAUGAAAGGUAAUGGCAGCAAUUAAAAGGCAGUUUCAUGACAAAAUGGCCACUACGAAGAAAGUGGGUAGUUAUAGGACGAUCAAGCAGUUUUUAGAGUAG
rnacentral:lncRNA from 1 species